UACGACGUGAUCUGGAUCCAGUGGGU
rnacentral:piRNA from 2 species